GGUCCAAGGAAUCCGAAAGCAGGAACAAACAACUCUCAAUAGUGAAAGUGUAAAAUAAGGUAUACCUUCUCUUCUGACACCACAGUGAAAAAUCAUUCCGUGAGUCCUGCAAACCCCAGCACAGAGCAAGAGAACUGGUAUUCUGUAAGAGAAAUUCUCAAAAUAGGGCAUCAUGGAAGAAUUUGUACAAUGUGUCUGGAGAACUGGCUUCAAGGCCUGCCUGUAAAAAUGACUGCCAUUUACCUUGAGUGGGACCUUCAGGAAGAUGGCACAUGCUGUGGACACACAGACUUCAAAGUCAGACAUCUGAGUUCAAAUAGAAAAACUAAGUCUUUGAUAUGACAACCUUAAAAUAUUUAAAGUCAACUAUAGAAGUCCUUCCUGAAUCUUCCUACAGAGAAUGAGAUGGAAUAUGGAUUUGGAAUCAAGACAGAUCAGUCUGAAUGGUGGUUUGCCAGGUGGUACCUGUGUGCCUUUGAAAAAGUUAAUCACUGUUGCCGCACUUCAUCUGAACAACACGAGCAUGUCUGUAUAGUGGAGACACUAAUCAACUUGCAGAGUGGAGGGUAUUAAAUGAGACACAAUGUCAGUGCCUAGGCAGUGUGUUUUCUAGACAGUUUAUUCCUCUUCCUUCAUUUUGUCACACCAGCUAAUAUUUUUGGGAAGAGUUUCCAUUUGUCCAGAGACCUCUUAAAUUGUGGUUUCUGAAAAUGGGAAAAAAACAAAGGCUAGAAAGACUCCUUGUAGUCAGAGUAGUCAUUAAAAUAGUUGAUGUUCACGUCAGAAUUUUUUCUGGUAGCUCUUAGAAUUCUAAUGCCCCUUCUAUGCACACACUGUACCAUCCUUUCAGGUGGUUACAAUUUUGGACUAAAUACAGAAGUCUAUACCACUGCAUUAAAUUUCAUUUGUUUUGCUCCAGCCCAUCUCAGAUGCUUGAGGUGUUGAUUCCCUAAUCAGAUGUACCUACUAUACCUUCCAGCUAUUUAGCAUAUAAUACUGUGAUCAGCUUCAUGGAUAUAACUGAAUUAAAAGAUUCCUCCCUUCAUUGAUGAACAUUUGGCAAAAAGUUUCAGCCAGAUGUUCACAAAAUUUUUUGGUAAAAUUUUUAAUCCACUUUCCUGUUCCAGAAUCCAACCCAUACUUACACUACAUUUUCUGCUGAUAUCUGUAUUUUGUCAUUAACUUACAGGAGAUCUUUAUUCUUUUCUGUAGAAUCCUUACUGUCUUCAAAUGUUAUUAGUUAAAUUCACCUAAAAUAUUCUAAUUUACUGACUUAAUAACACUUUUCAAGUAGACCACGAUAUGCGCCAUGGUUGUUUCUAAAAAAAAAAUACUGCUGUAAACUAAUUUUUUUCAUAUUUUUUGUGGUUUUUAAUGUCAAACUUUCUCUUAAGAAUUUCCAUCCCUUAGUCCUGAUAUUUUAUUUCUAAAUCUAGGAAUAGACAGAUGCUGUAGACUGAAAGUUUGUGUUCCCCCAAAACUCCUAUGUUGAAAUCCUGACCCCAGUGUGAUGGUGUUGGGAUGCGGGGCCUCUGGUAGAUGGUUAGGUCAGGAGGGCUUCACCCUCACGCAGGAGAUCAGUGUUCUCAUAAAAGAGACACUGGAGAGUGCCCUCAGCCCUCCCGCACAGGGAUGCAACGUAAAGAUGGCUGUCUAUGAGUUAGGAAGCAGCUUCUCACCAGACCUCGGAUCUGCUGGUGUCUUGAUCUUGAACUUCCCAGUCUCCAGAACUGUGAGAAAUACCCUUCUGCUGUUUAUAGUUACUCAGUCUAUAGUUUCUGUAGUAGCAGCCCAAAUGGAUUAAGACCAGAGGAUGAUGAUCUAUUUCCUUAUCUGAUACUAUUCUGCAUUUAUUCUGAGGUUCUCAUUCCUCACUCCAAGCUGUAAAUUACAGGAGAUCUGCAUUCCACUUAGAGUCACACAGAAAUCAAAGAAGAUGUUAAAUACAGAUUUUUAAAAAGUGUCUCCCUUUCUUUAGUUACUCCUCUCUGGAUGUUUUUGACAGAGACAGAAAUAAGGGUGUUAUGAUCACUUAAAUAUCAUUAAAGACAUUAUAUUUGAGAUGCACUUUCUAAGUUUCAGUUUUAAUAUUUGGUUUAGGAUGCUACAUCUAAGAGAACUGAUAAUGCUCUGUUGAUUUGUCUAGUUAUACAUAAGAGGGGCUGGGGACUCUCUUGUCCCCUCCUGGCGUGAGCCGGGUGCUCUGUCCUUUCACUUUAUCUCUAAAUAA